CAUUUCAACUAAAAAAGUCAUCAAUAAAAAAGUGGUAUAACUCAUCAAGAUCUAUAACUUUUAUUUGGGUCAUUUCUUCAUCCGACAAAGCGAAUUAUAACAUUGUUCACAAAAUAUACAUAUCUCUUAUAUAGUUUAUAAACUAUAAGAGAGAGAUGUAAAUUUUGUAAAUAAUGUUACUAUUACUUUGUCGGAUGAAGAAAUGACCAAAAUAAAAGUUAUAGAUAUUGAUGAUUUAUACAGCUUUGUUAUUGAUGACUUUUUCAGUUGAAAUC
rnacentral:pre_miRNA from 1 species